rnacentral:misc_RNA from 1 species
AAGUCGUAACAAGGUUUCCGUAGGUGAACCUGCGGAAGGAUCAUUGCAAAAGUAUGGAUGUGAGAUAUGUUGGAAUGUGAAUGACGUUUGACAAUACUUUUACGAAUUUUUAUACAACUCUCCACAAUGGAUCUCUGGGCUCUU